AGCUCUUCUGGCAUCUUUGUGCAGGGAAUUGCCCUUCCUGGGCAUCCUGGUUGGCCUCUUCCAGCACCAGAGCCCAGCUUUGGAGAGGCCAGGACCAGGAUUCCACUGCAGCUGCCCGAGGGACCAUUGCUUCAUGCCUCCAUCUGGUCACCAGUGAGCAUCAACCCUCCCUUGCCUCCAAGCUCCCAGGAACUGAGCAGCUCUCGAGGUCCACGUGUGAGGAUUUCUUGUCGCUGCCUUCUCCCUUGUUGGCUAAGUGAUGGCAAAUGAGGUCAUGUGAAGCUAAAUUGAGCAUGAACUGCUCUCCCUUCAGAGCUUCUGCUGCAGCCUCUCCAGGGAAAUGAGAACUCCUUCAGAAUGUGCCUUGGAUCAGAUCACAUCCCCUCCAGCACUGGAACCUCUGAGCUUUCCAGACAUGAGUGGCUGGCAGACAGCUCCUGGCACAGAACAGGGCUUUGGGGAGGUGUAAGGACAACCAAGGGCAAGUGAGGGUGGUGGAGUCUCCAACCUGCAUAUUGCACCCCACCAUGCAGCUCUGCUGCUGCAUCUGCUGCCAGGUCCCUGUGUGCCACACACCACACCAGAAAUGACUAUUCCAGACCUUCAGAAUAAGUCUAACUAGGGGGCAAGAGGCUGAGCAUCACUCAGAUUUUUCUCCCACUGUGACCUGCCUGAUCCAGGGAGGACAUACAGAGUUCCCAGCAUCAUUGUUCUGUCCCUGAGUCAUCCUUGUCCCUUCUGCCUCCCCUGCUGCCCAUCUGAGAUGAUGGGUGAGGGCCAGGUAGACUUGGGGCAGGGUUUCACCCUUACAGAUGGGCUGUUCUUUGUUCCUUGGAGAAGUCCUCUUCUAGGGCUAAAGCUGUCCCAGCUUGGCCUCCAAAACCAUAUUGCUGAAUUGGUCCUCGACAGCAACCUAGAGGAUGCACAAGAUGGUGGCAUCAGUCCUCUUCAGGAUCUCUUACAGCCCAGCUCUCUCCCAUCUGGGGCCUGGAGAAAGAUUCUGAGAUGCUGGAGUGAGGUGAGCACUCCAGAGACUCUCCUGCCCCUUGGAAACUCAGUCCUUUGCUUAGGUCUCCAUCCAUGCUGAGUACACCUCCAGCAGCUCAGCUCUUCUCAUCCAAGCCUCCUGCCUGGCAGCAGGAGCACCAUGGGGUCCUCCAAGUCCUGAUCCUACCUCAGUCCUGGGGCACCUUGUCCCUCUGUGCCACAUGGGACUGCCCCAGAGAUGCUCAUGGAUGCUCCUGCUCUAUGGGAGCAAGAGCUGUGACCAGCAGCUGCUCCUCAUCAUGCUGCCUUCAGGGCAGCUCCUCGCAGAUGAAGAGAAGUGUGUCCUUUGGCAGGAGCCUGACAUUGGCAGGCAGGAGGAGAAGCAUCUGCUCAAUCAGACACAUCCAAAGCUUUCCAUGUGCCAAAGGCUCUGGCCAAGGCUGAGUGCAAACACACCAAGCUUCAAAGACAGCUGGAUGCUGUGUCAGAGAGCAGUGAGGACCAUGUCCUCCUCACUUUGAAGGCACCUUUGCUGAGGCUGGUGCAGCCUCCUGCCUCUCCUGGAGACCCAGACAAGCUGGCCAAGCCCAAGAACUUCAAGGUCAGUAUUUCCUAGGCAUGGCUCAAGCCAUGAUGGGCAAAUGGUGGCAGAACACUCCCUAGGACCUGAGAAGCUGCUGAGAGACAAGGUGAGAAGGUUGGCACUGCACCAAACAGUAUCAGGGGAACAGUAGAGUGAAGACUGGCACAGGCUGAGUGCCAGGGCACAGCUCCAGAUGGGUCAGGUUGGGUAGGAUGGAGCCUUGGAUGCACAUGGCAGAGUCACUCUCUAGGCUUUUGUUUCCUUCCCACUCCUUUCCCAAGCUGCCCUCCCAGUGGGCCUGUCCUCACAUGCAGCUUCCAUGGGUGCAUCCCAGGGUGGUUAAGACAACCUGAGGGCUGCUCCUGGCUGCUUCCACACCCUCCUGCAAGGUGGUGGCAAACCCACUGGGGUCAGAAUUGGUUAGGCUGGAGAAGACCUUUGAGACCAUCGAGUCCAGGCUGAGUCCAGGCUGCUCAUCCCCUGAGCAAAGUGUCCAUCCCCAGACCCACACCUCUGAGGUGGUUGAGUGAGCUUUGGAGGGCAAGAAGGGCCAUGUUUGAGGCACUUAUAGAGCUGGGAGACAUCUCUGAAGGGCUCUGCUCUUUGUGCAGGGAGCUGGAGGCUCUCAAUCCAAGGAACACUUCUCUCUUUUGCAUGCUGCAUCCCCUUGCUCUUUGCUACUUUGUGUCCCUUUUCCUUCUGCACAACAGCCCAAGCUAACCUGGCCCAUCAUGGUCUGAUCUGUUCCCAGGUUCCUACUGGGCUUCACCCAGGGCAUGGAGGUCUCAGAGUUCCUAUGUAAGAGUUUCCAACCCAGCACCCACCUGCAGUGAUAACCAAAGGAUCAAGGGUGGCUGUCAGGACAAGCUCCAAGCCCACCCCCACCUCAGCUCAGCACUGUCCAGGAUGGACUGGGCCACCAAACACCAGUGAUGCCCCAGCUCACCCUCCACGGGCAUCAGACUUCUGCAUGCCCCUGUUAUGGGCAACUCAUUGCCCUGGGGUCUACUGCUGGAGGAACCAUGUUCAGCAUGUCCAAUCCAAACCUGCCCUGCUGCAACUUGAGGCCAUUUCCUCGUGUCCUGUCAUUUGCCACCCGGGAGAAGAAACCAAGCUCCAUCUGCAUGCAGCCUCCUUUCAGGGAGUUGUAGAGAGCCAGAAGGUCUCCCCCCAGCCUCCUUUUCUCCAGGCUGAACAACCCCAGGUUCCCUCAGCUGCUCCUCACCAGCCCUGUCCUCUAGACCCUUUGUUGCUGUUUUCUGGACCUGCUCUAGCCCCUCAAGGUCCUUCUUGGAACAAGGGACCUGAAACUGAAUCCAG